UGUGAAGGAAAGGUGAAAAGAACCCCGGGAGGGGAGUGAAAUAGAUCCUGAAACCCUGUGCCAAUGAAGAGUAGGAGCCUGUAUUUAUACGGGUGACUGCGUACUUUUUGUAGAACGGACCAACGAGUUAGCUGUAUGUGGCAAGGUUAAGGGAGAGUAUACCCGGAGCCGUAGGGAAACCGAGUCUGAAUAGGGCGAUUCAGUCACAUGCACUAGACCCGAAACCCAUGCGAGCUACUCAUGUGCAGGCUGAAGGUGUGGUAACACACACUGGAGGGCCGAACCAUUUAGAGCUGCAAGUCUAUUGGAUGACAUGUGAGUAGGAGUGAAAAGCUAAUCGAGCUGGGAGAUAGCUGGUUCUCCGCGAAAUAUAUUUAGGUAUAGCCUCAUAAAGCAACAGUCUGAGGUAGGGCUCUGAUAAGGUGAGCGGGUCGCGAGACUUAGCAAUCCUUGAUAAACUUCGAAUGCAGACUGCCAAGUAUUAUGAGAGUCAGACAGUGACGGAGAAGCGCCAUUGUCAAAAGGGAAACAGCCCAGAUUCCUGUCUAAGGUCCCCAAAUAUACACUCAGUGGAAAAGGAGGUGAGGUUACUGAGACAACCAGGAUGUUGGCUUAGAAGCAGCCACUCAUUCAAAGAGUGCGUAAUAGCUCACUGGUCGAGUGAUCUUGCGCCGAAAAUUCAACGGGGCUUAAGUGUAUUACCGAAGACGGAAACUUCAAUUUUAUUGGAGUGGUAGCGGAGCGUCCUCUAUGCUGAUGAAGGUGAGUCGUAAGGCUUGCUGGAGGUACGAGGAGUGAAAAUGUUGGUAUGAGUAACGCGAACAGAAUGAAAACUUCUGUCACCGAAUGCCCAAGGUUUCCGAUCCAACGUCAGUCGUGGUCGGGUUAGUCGGUCCUAAGGUGUACCCGAAAGGGGAAACCGAUGGAUAGCAGGUUAAUAUUCCUGCACUUCAAAUGUUCGUUAUUACGACGUGGGGACAUAUCGGGUCAUUGGAGAGGGUUAUAGAUCAUCCUCGAAUUAUACAACAGCGGACACUUAGGAAAAUCCGGGUGUCAUUUACGAAAGAGUAUAGUUUCUCUCAAAGUGAAAGCGUAAGCUCGAGCAAUGAGAAGUCCUACAAUGAUUUGGUAUCGAGAAAAGCCACUAAGGAGAAUUAUUUGAAACCGUACCGCAAUCGAACACUCGUGGGCUGGUGUGAGUACACCAAGGUGGACGGGAUAACUAUGCUUAAGGAACUCUGCAAAACAGCGGUCGUAACUUCGGGAUAAGACCUGCCUGGAGAGUAAUUUACUCUUCAGGCCGCAGCUAACGAGCCCAGGCGACUGUUUACCAAAAACACAGCUCUCUGCAAACACGUAAGUGGAAGUAUAGGGGGUGAUGCCUGCCCAGUGCCAGAAGAUUACGGGGAGGGGUGCAAGCUCUGAACUUAAGUCCUGGUGAACGGCGGCCGUAACUAUAACGGUCCUAAGGUAGCGAAAUUCCUUGUCGGGUAAGUUCCGACCCGCACGAAUGGCAUAACGGUCUGGGCACUGUCUCAAGCAUAGUCCCGGUGAAAUUGCAAUAUCGGUAAAAAUGCCGAUUACUCGCAGCAAGACGGAAAGACCCUAUGAAGCUUUACUCUAACUUGGCACUGAUGUAUUCAGUUUGAUGCGCAGGAUAGGUGGGAGACUAUGAAAGAGACCCUCUGGGGUUUCCCGAGUCAUCCUUGAGAUACCACCCUUCACUCUGUGUACAUCUAACCCCAUAUUGGGGGACAGUGCUUGGCGGGGAGUUUAACUGGGGCGGUUGCCUCCUAAAAGAUAACGGAGGCGCACAAAGGUAUGCUAGUCCCGGAUGGAAAUCGGGAUGGUCGUGUAUUCGCAUAAGCAUGCUUAACUGAGAGACCAACAAGUCGAUCAGAUACGAAAGUAGGUGAAAGUGAUCCGGCACCAACAUGUGGGAGUGGUGUCGCUCAACGGAUAAAAGUUACUCUAGGGAUAACAGGCUGAUUCCGUCCAAGAGUUCACAUCGACGACGGAGUUUGGCACCUCGAUGUCGGCUCGUCGCAUCCUGGGGGUGGAGAAGCUCCCAAGGGUAUGGCUGUUCGCCAUUUAAAGCGGUACGCGAGCUGGGUUCAGAACGUCGUGAGACAGUUUGGCCCCUAUCUGCUGUGAGCGUUUAGGAAUUUGAUGGGAUUUGCUCCUAGUACGAGAGGACCGGAGUGAACGAACCUCUGGUGGAUCAGCUGUCGCUCUAGCGGCACUGCUGAGUAGCUACGUUCGGAAUGGAUAACCACUGAAAGCAUCUAAGUGGGAAGCCAAUCCAAAGAUGAGAUUCCUCCAAGAAUUUAUUCUUGAUAAGUGCCCUUGGAGACUACAAGGUUGAUAGGUUGCAGGUGUACGAACAGCGAUGUUCUCAGCCGAGCAAUACUAAUAGCACGAAUGAUAUUUAU
rnacentral:rRNA from 1 species